AGGAUUGGCAUGGGCGAAAGCCUGAUCAGCCUGCCGCGUGUGUGAAGAAGGUCUUCGGAUUGUAAAGCACUUUAAGUUGGGAGGAAGGGCAGUAAAUUAAUACUUUGCUGCUUUGACGUUACCGACAGAAUAAGCACCGGCUAACUCUGUGCCAGCAGCCGCGGUAAUACAGAGGGUGCAAGCGUUAAUCGGAAUUACUGGGCGUAAAGCGCGCGUAGGUGGUUUGUUAAGUUGAAUGUGAAAUCCCCGGGCUCAACCUGGGAACUGCAUCCAAAACUGGCAAGCUAGAGUAUGGUAGAGGGUAGUGGAAUUUCCUGUGUAGCGGUGAAAUGCGUGGAGAUCUGGAGGAAUACCGAUGGCGAAGGCAGCCAUCUGGCCUAAUACUGACACUGAGGUACGAAAGCAUGGG
rnacentral:rRNA from 1 species